UACGUAGGGGGCAAGCGUUGUCCGGAAUUAUUGGGCGUAAAGAGCGCGUAGGCGGUCCGAUAAGUCGACUGUGAAAGUCUAGGGCUCAACCCUGGAAAGCCGGUCGAUACUGUCGGACUAGAGUCCGGAAGAGGCAAGUGGAAUUCCCGGUGUAGUGGUGAAAUGCGUAGAUAUCGGGAGGAACACCAGUGGCGAAGGCGGCUUCCUGGCCUGUUCUUGACGCUGAGGCGCGAAAGCUAGGGGAGCAAACGGG
rnacentral:rRNA from 1 species